rnacentral:rRNA from 1 species
UACAGAGGGUGCAAGCGUUAAUCGGAAUUACUGGGCGUAAAGCGUGCGCAGGCGGUUUUGUAAGUCUGUUGUGAAAUCCCCGGGCUUAACCUGGGAAUGGCCUUUGUGACUGCACGGCUAGAGUGUGUCAGAGGGGGGGUAGAAUUCCACGUGUAGCAGUGAAAUGCGUAGAGAUGUGGAGGAAUACCGAUGGCGAAGGCAGCCCCCUGGGAUAACACUGACGCUCAUGCACGAAAGCGUGGGGAGCAAACAGG